rnacentral:rRNA from 1 species
GACGAACGCUGGCGGCGUGCCUAAUACAUGCAAGUAGAACGCUGAAGAAGAGGAGCUUGCUCUUCUUGGAUGAGUUGCGAACGGGUGAGUAACGCGUAGGUAACCUGCCUUGUAGCGGGGGAUAACUAUUGGAAACGAUAGCUAAUACCGCAUAACAAUGGAUGACACAUGUCAUUUAUUUGAAAGGGGCAAUUGCUCCACUACAAGAUGGACCUGCGUUGUAUUAGCUAGUAGGUGAGGUAACGGCUCACCUAGGCGACGAUACAUAGCCGACCUGAGAGGGUGAUCGGCCACACUGGGACUGAGACACGGCCCAGACUCCUACGGGAGGCAGCAGUAGGGAAUCUUCGGCAAUGGGGGCAACCCUGACCGAGCAACGCCGCGUGAGUGAAGAAGGUUUUCGGAUCGUAAAGCUCUGUUGUAAGUCAAGAACGAGUGUGAGAGUGGAAAGUUCACACUGUGACGGUAGCUUACCAGAAAGGGACGGCUAACUACGUGCCAGCAGCCGCGGUAAUACGUAGGUCCCGAGCGUUGUCCGGAUUUAUUGGGCGUAAAGCGAGCGCAGGCGGUUUGAUAAGUCUGAAGUUAAAGGCUGUGGCUCAACCAUAGUUCGCUUUGGAAACUGUCAAACUUGAGUGCAGAAGGGGAGAGUGGAAUUCCAUGUGUAGCGGUGAAAUGCGUAGAUAUAUGGAGGAACACCGGUGGCGAAAGCGGCUCUCUGGUCUGUAACUGACGCUGAGGCUCGAAAGCGUGGGGAGCGAACAGGAUUAGAUACCCUGGUAGUCCACGCCGUAAACGAUGAGUGCUAGGUGUUGGAUCCUUUCCGGGAUUCAGUGCCGCAGCUAACGCAUUAAGCACUCCGCCUGGGGAGUACGACCGCAAGGUUGAAACUCAAAGGAAUUGACGGGGGCCCGCACAAGCGGUGGAGCAUGUGGUUUAAUUCGAAGCAACGCGAAGAACCUUACCAGGUCUUGACAUCCCGAUGCUAUUUCUAGAGAUAGAAAGUUACUUCGGUACAUCGGUGACAGGUGGUGCAUGGUUGUCGUCAGCUCGUGUCGUGAGAUGUUGGGUUAAGUCCCGCAACGAGCGCAACCCCUAUUGUUAGUUGCCAUCAUUCAGUUGAGCACUCUAGCGAGACUGCCGGUAAUAAACCGGAGGAAGGUGGGGAUGACGUCAAAUCAUCAUGCCCCUUAUGACCUGGGCUACACACGUGCUACAAUGGUUGGUACAACGAGUUGCGAGUCGGUGACGGCAAGCUAAUCUCUCAAAGCCAAUCUCAGUUCGGAUUGUAGGCUGCAACUCGCCUACAUGAAGUCGGAAUCGCUAGUAAUCGCGGAUCAGCACGCCGCGGUGAAUACGUUCCCGGGCCU